UCAAAAAAUUUCCCCUUCUCUAGCCGAUCUUCGUCGCGCACGGCGCCGCCAGCCGACCAGGUCGCCGCCGCGUCGUCUUCUCAUCCGCUGACCUCACGUCGCCGCUUCCUUCCCCGUCCCCGUCCCCGUCGCCCCUUCUCUCAAGCUGCCGGCUGGCGCUCUCUGUUCCCCGGGUCGUCCACUCCACGCCGUCGGUUCGACCCAGGAGCGGCAGGGGUAGAGGCGCAGUUCUACUCCAGGCUCCGCAUCCAAGUAGUACGAUUCCUAAUUUUUUUGGUCGACCGGUCAUUUUGGUUUGUUAAUCUUCCUGCACUGACCACUUGCUGCUGCUGAUGGCGCAUAUUGCAAAGUAUGGCGAGGUUGAGUAUCUCAAAGUAGAAAUCUCAGAGACGCCGCUUCCUGCCGUCUUCGUGCGAUGGAGGAGUUCUAGGGUUAGCUGUUCGAUCGGCGACUGCCGCGAGCUGGUAGCACAUCAGCUUGCUAUGAUCUGCCUUCUCUGUUGAUCAAGGUUGCUUUGCUGGUUCUGCUCUUGCUCGGCCAUCCCGUUGCAGGUUGCCACCGAUGGGAAUACAGCCAAUGGACAGGUUUUGCUUGUCAGCGACCAGAACAAGAACAAGUCAAUGCUUAUCUGUAUAUUCAACUUUGUGGAUGAUUGGAGGCUCUAUGUUCAUAGUUUAUAUUGGUCAUCUUUAUAUCUGGGCCAUGGUCGCUGUAUUGGUCUAUCAUUCAUCUACCGGUUAAUUGACCAUAGAAAGGUCAUGGCAUUAAUAGGAUAUAUUUUCCUUCUUUCCUUUACAGAAUAGAUUAUUAUCAGGAUAACAAUGACUCAAUACAUUGCUUGACAGAAUGAUUGAGAUUAACUAUGAGGGAGUUUAUUCCUAGCUUCUAGCCCUACAUAAAAAUGGCUGAUGGUUCAGUUCCUCAUUUGGUGAUUUUUUCUUAUUCUCCAUCUAUAUUAUACCAAGAUGAUGCCCUUGAAAGAGUGAGACAAAUACAUCAUCUGCUCAAGCUCACAGUUGGCCGAACUGAAAGGUUUUAUCUUUCUGAAAAUUUUCCUCUAGUUAGUAAGGGGCGGUAAAUGCAAGCACUCUUAAGGCUUUUCCAGUUUCCUCUAAUCUAGUGGCAGCACAUUGAUGCUUCAAUUUUAAGUGGGUCAUGCUAGCUGAACAAAAACUUAAUUUUGUGUUCCUUGUACCUAAUUGUGCCUUCACGGUUCUUGUGAUGGUUGCUUGUGAGUGUUUGUUUGGUAUCUCUAUAUAGGAUUUGAAAUUGAUGUAAGAUGUGUGCUGCUACAAUUUUCUGAAGUAACUUACUGAUACUGAUAUGUGUGAACUUAUUGCUACUGGAAAUCGUUCCAGUAAAUUAGUAUUGACAUUAUGUCCUACUGUUAAUCAGGGCAUUAUUUCUGCUGCAUGCCCAAGUAUUUCCACAUCUUGUUCUGGUGAUAUAGGCUACUUAUUGUUAGUUCAUUGUAGGUCUCUUGAAGCUUUAUAUAAAUGUUUACAUUUAUUCUUACAUAAUAAUACUAAAUGGAGCAGAUGGCCGAUGCUCACGCUCUGUUUUGGGGCUUUUGUCGCUUUUCUCUGAAAUUACCACCCUUUCUUAUUUUUCAGGUUCUUGAUUGGAUUACGUAUUUUGGGCACUUUGCUGGUACCAUCUUCCUUGAGGUGAGAGUUGAUGUAUGUGGUGAUGUGCAUGUGAUAUUGUUGUGCGUGCCAGUUUCAUAUACCAUUUCCACACUGCUGCAAGAGGGAAAGAAUAUUAGUGAAGGAUUUCUCUAUUAAUGACAUUAUCUUGAACGUCCUACAAGGAAGUUGCUCCUGAUGCCUGCAAAACCUUUUGAACCUAAUAAAUCAUGCUAUGUCUGCUCUGAGACCCCUCUUCUGCUGGAUGUUAACACCAAGGCCACAAAGCUUAGGGAGGUUAUCGACAAGAUUGGCUCUACACUUGUUUUUGAAGAUGCUGAUGGCUUAGAGGAAGACGAGACUGCAACUAUGCUUUAAACCUUGAGAAUGGAAGUUUGACGAGGAGAAAGAGACUGACAGAAUGGUUUUAUCUGGAUGGUCUGCUCCGGUGGAGGAACAAAUUAACAGUAAUGGGGAGAACGAAUCGACAGCUUCUUCAUCCUGUGCGCAUGCCACUGAUGACACUAUUGAGGAUCCAUCGACUAAACCUCGGAUGAAGCGCAAGCUGGGUGAACUAUUGAAAACAAAGGAAAAGUGUGUUGCAUCCAGUAGUGCUUAGGUGUUUUGGUUUGACAACUCUGGUUGAUAUGUGGUCUACGCUAUAGCAGAUUGUAUAUGCUGAUUCAAGUAUUCUAGCAAUUUACCAAGUUAAGCUAGUCUUUCUUUGAAUUUAUGGCUGAUAUGAAUAUGAUGUAUGAUGAUUUUUUGCGGAUUUAUGAAUUAUUUGAG